CUAGAUUUAGCAUGUCUACAUGCAAUGCACUUGCUAAAAAUGUGUUAUGCAUCUUAUCUCAUUUUAGACUAAUAAAAAUGCCCAUCCGAAAUUUCUAAGGUCUUAGUUACCCCAAAGUGUCACAGGUGUCACCCAUUAUGAGCCUCACGCACCAGAAGUUGCCUUAAUGAAUAGUUAGGCACAUAUAAUUUACUAUCUC
rnacentral:lncRNA from 1 species